rnacentral:rRNA from 1 species
ACUCAAAGGAAUUGACGGGGCCCCGCACAAGCGGCGGAGCAUGCGGAUUAAUUCGAUGCAACGCGAAGAACCUUACCAAGGCUUGACAUUCAGGGUAAACCAUCGGAAACGGUGGGUCCGCAAGGGAUCUUGAACAGGUGGUGCAUGGUUGUCGUCAGCUCGUGUCGUGAGAUGUUGGGUUAAGUCCCGCAACGAGCGCAACCCUCGUUCUAUGUUGCCAGCGCGUGAUGGCGGGGACUCAUAGGAGACUGCCGGGGUCAACUCGGAGGAAGGUGGGGAUGACGUCAAAUCAUCAUGCCCCUUAUGUCUUGGGCUUCACGCAUGCUACAAUGGCCAGUACAAAGGGCUGCGAGACCGCGAGGUGGAGCGAAUCCCAAAAAGCUGGUCUCAGUUCGGAUCGGGGUCUGCAACUCGACCCCGUGAAGUCGGAGUCGCUAGUAAUCGCAGAUCAGCAACGCUGCGGUGAAUACGUUCCCGGGGCUUGCACACACCGCCCGU